rnacentral:lncRNA from 1 species
AGGCUAUAAAAGAAGGAGAUUUCUCCUCUUCGGGAAUCAAGCUUGGGAGCUCAUAGGCCAAAUCCCACAGAAACAGAGGGGGGAGAGAAGUUUGGGUCUUUUUGGGACUACCUUCUCAAAAGAAAAAACUAAUGAAUUGCUAGAGAAGAAAUGGGAGCCCGCUGCUGUGCCACUGUUGCUGUCGCCCACGACUCCAUGGAAGGCUGAUCUCCUCUCUAGGGCCGGAUGCAGCCCUAACAAAGAGACACGGGUUUUAUGUAUUUAAUUUUAUAUUCUUGGAGUUGUAUGAACUUAUUGUUUUUAAUGAAUAUCCUCUUUUAUCUCAUAUUUAAUUUCUGUGAUUUUAAAUAUGAUGUUUAUACAACUGUUCUUCAUGAUCACUAAGUUAAUAAAAGAUCACCCAUGCUUAGGGAAGAUGCAGUAUCCUGCCACAUUAGUUUAGGGUAGACAUUUCAUGCCAACCA